rnacentral:rRNA from 1 species
GGUUAAGCGACUAAGCGUACACGGUGGAUGCCCUGGCAGUCAGAGGCGAUGAAGGGCGUGCUAAUCUGCGAUAAGCGCCGGUAAGGUGAUAUGAACCGUUAUAACCGGCGAUACCCGAAUGGGGAAACCCAGUGUGAUUCGUCACACUAUCAUUAACUGAAUCCAUAGGUUAAUGAGGCGAACCGGGGGAACUGAAACAUCUAAGUACCCCGAGGAAAAGAAAUCAACCGAGAUUCCCCCAGUAGCGGCGAGCGAACGGGGAGGAGCCCAGAGCCUGAAUCAGCAUGUGUGUUAGUGGAAGCGUCUGGAAAGGCGCGCGAUACAGGGUGACAGCCCCGUACACAAAAGCGCAUGUGCUGUGAGCUCGAUGAGUAGGGCGGGACACGUGGUAUCCUGUCUGAAUAUGGGGGGACCAUCCUCCAAGGCUAAAUACUCCUGACUGACCGAUAGUGAACCAGUACCGUGAGGGAAAGGCGAAAAGAACCCCGGCGAGGGGAGUGAAAAAGAACCUGAAACCGUGUACGUACAAGCAGUGGGAGCACAGGUUUACCUGUGUGACUGCGUACCUUUUGUAUAAUGGGUCAGCGACUUAUAUUCUGUAGCAAGGUUAACCGUAUAGGGGAGCCGCAGGGAAACCGAGUCUUAAUUGGGCGUUAAGUUGCAGGGUAUAGACCCGAAACCCGGUGAUCUAGCCAUGGGCAGGUUGAAGGUUGGGUAACACUAACUGGAGGACCGAACCGACUAAUGUUGAAAAAUUAGCGGAUGACCUGUGGCUGGGGGUGAAAGGCCAAUCAAACCGGGAGAUAGCUGGUUCUCCCCGAAAGCUAUUUAGGUAGCGCCUCGUGAAUUCAUCUCCGGGGGUAGAGCACUGUUUCGGCUAGGGGGCCAUCCCGGCUUACCAACCCGAUGCAAACUGCGAAUACCGGAGAAUGUUAUCACGGGAGACACACGGCGGGUGCUAACGUCCGUCGUGAAGAGGGAAACAACCCAGACCGCCAGCUAAGGUCCCAAAGUCAUGGUUAAGUGGGAAACGAUGUGGGAAGGCCCAGACAGCCAGGAUGUUGGCUUAGAAGCAGCCAUCAUUUAAAGAAAGCGUAAUAGCUCACUGGUCGAGUCGGCCUGCGCGGAAGAUGUAACGGGGCUAAACCAUGCACCGAAGCUGCGGCAGCGAACGUAUCACUUAAAGCGAUUCAGCGGGUUACGAUUGACGGAGCGAAGCGACGUCAAAGCGUAUACAAAGUCGAGUCGGUUUAAGGAUACGUUCGUUGGGUAGGGGAGCGUUCUGUAAGCCUGUGAAGGUGGCCUGUGAGGGUUGCUGGAGGUAUCAGAAGUGCGAAUGCUGACAUAAGUAACGAUAAAGCGGGUGAAAAGCCCGCUCGCCGGAAGACCAAGGGUUCCUGUCCAACGUUAAUCGGGGCAGGGUGAGUCGACCCCUAAGGCGAGGCCGAAAGGCGUAGUCGAUGGGAAACGGGUUAAUAUUCCCGUACUUGGUGUUACUGCGAAGGGGGGACGGAGAAGGCUAUGUUGGCCGGGCGACGGUUGUCCCGGUUUAAGCGUGUAGGUGUGUGUUCCAGGUAAAUCCGGUUCACUUUAACACUGAGGCGUGAUGACGAGGCACUACGGUGCUGAAGCAACAAAUGCCCUGCUUCCAGGAAAAGCCUCUAAGCAUCAGGUAACAUCAAAUCGUACCCCAAACCGACACAGGUGGUCAGGUAGAGAAUACCAAGGCGCUUGAGAGAACUCGGGUGAAGGAACUAGGCAAAAUGGUGCCGUAACUUCGGGAGAAGGCACGCUGACAUGUAGGUGAAGUGAUUUACUCAUGGAGCUGAAGUCAGUCGAAGAUACCAGCUGGCUGCAACUGUUUAUUAAAAACACAGCACUGUGCAAACACGAAAGUGGACGUAUACGGUGUGACGCCUGCCCGGUGCCGGAAGGUUAAUUGAUGGGGUCAGCGCAAGCGAAGCUCCUGAUCGAAGCCCCGGUAAACGGCGGCCGUAACUAUAACGGUCCUAAGGUAGCGAAAUUCCUUGUCGGGUAAGUUCCGACCUGCACGAAUGGCGUAAUGAUGGCCAGGCUGUCUCCACCCGAGACUCAGUGAAAUUGAACUCGCUGUGAAGAUGCAGUGUACCCGCGGCAAGACGGAAAGACCCCGUGAACCUUUACUAUAGCUUGACACUGAACAUUGAGCCUUGAUGUGUAGGAUAGGUGGGAGGCUUUGAAGCGUGGACGCCAGUCUGCGUGGAGCCGGCCUUGAAAUACCACCCUUUAAUGUUUGAUGUUCUAACGUGGACCCGUGAUCCGGGUUGCGGACAGUGUCUGGUGGGUAGUUUGACUGGGGCGGUCUCCUCCUAAAGAGUAACGGAGGAGCACGAAGGUUGGCUAAUCCUGGUCGGACAUCAGGAGGUUAGUGCAAUGGCAUAAGCCAGCUUGACUGCGAGCGUGACGGCGCGAGCAGGUGCGAAAGCAGGUCAUAGUGAUCCGGUGGUUCUGAAUGGAAGGGCCAUCGCUCAACGGAUAAAAGGUACUCCGGGGAUAACAGGCUGAUACCGCCCAAGAGUUCAUAUCGACGGCGGUGUUUGGCACCUCGAUGUCGGCUCAUCACAUCCUGGGGCUGAAGUAGGUCCCAAGGGUAUGGCUGUUCGCCAUUUAAAGUGGUACGCGAGCUGGGUUUAGAACGUCGUGAGACAGUUCGGUCCCUAUCUGCCGUGGGCGCUGGAGAACUGAGGGGGGCUGCUCCUAGUACGAGAGGACCGGAGUGGACGCAUCACUGGUGUUCGGGUUGUCAUGCCAAUGGCACUGCCCGGUAGCUAAAUGCGGAAGAGAUAAGUGCUGAAAGCAUCUAAGCACGAAACUUGCCCCGAGAUGAGUUCUCCCUGAGACUUUAGGUCUCCUGAAGGAACGUUGAAGACGACGACGUUGAUAGGCCGGGUGUGUAAGCGCAGCGAUGCGUUGAGCUAACCGGUACUAAUGAACCGUGAGGCUUAACCUU